CAGAUGCUUUGUCUUUUGCAGGCUUCCUUAAGCUAACGCCUAGGAGUAGAAGGGAAACUGACUGACUUCUAAGCUGCACUUGGUUCAGACUUUGGAAGCCCACUGCAAGAGCUCAAGGGAUAGUUCCUAAGAGUAAAUAAAUUUAUGAGACCCAAGAUUACCGUGCAUUCACAAGGCACAAUAUAUCCCAUUACAACAAAAGAAAUGAUAUAUUAAGGAAGAUGAGUAAUCUUGGAUCACAAAAGAA
rnacentral:lncRNA from 1 species